AAUCUAAUCAAAUCCACACAUGCGAACCAACCAUGUUGGCCAUCUGGGUCUAGCAUCUUCAAGCGGAUGCUUCCUGGAUUGAGAUGGGUGCUGGUCGAAAGACCGGUGCCUGUCUCAGUCGCUACUCCUACAAUGGCUGUGGCGUCGGUCUUUAUCUAACCAACCAACACCAAACCUAAUUUAUAAAGUAAAAUCGAGGGAUCAGCUUAGAGCUGGCUCUCAUUAACCAAGACAACUCUCAACAACGGAUAUCUUGGCUCUCAGAUCGAUGAAGAACGCAGCGAAAUGCGAUACGUAGUGUGAAUUGCAGAAAUACGUGAAUCAUCGAAUCUUUGAACGCAAAUUGCGCUCGAGGCUUCGGCCAAGAGCAUGUCUGCCUCAGCGUCGGGUUAAUACUCACAUGCCCAUUCCCAGGAAUGCGUGUGUGGAUCUGGCUGUCUCGGUUUUGUGCCUUUCUCUAACGAGAGGGUAUUUUAACCGGGUCGGCUGAAGUGCAGAUGUCAAAGCAUGGACCGUUAAUCGGGCCUCUACUGGGUAGGCAACUCGUUUGCUGUAUUGCUUUAGUAGAUGGCUUGGGUCCUGCCUUUGGCGCAAAGCAGGAGUAUCUGAUUUUUCGGAUACAACCAAUACCAUUUUCGACCUGAGCUCAGGCAAGA
rnacentral:sRNA from 1 species